rnacentral:rRNA from 1 species
AAUCAACGCUGGCGGCGUGCCUCAGACAUGCAAGUCGAACGCGAAAGUCCCCCUCGGGGGACAAGUAGAGUGGCGCACGGGUGAGUAACACGUAGGUAAUCUACCUUCGAGUGGGGAAUAACAAUCGGAAACGGUUGCUAAUACCGCAUAAUGCAGCGGCACCUAAUGGUGACAGUUGUUAAAGCGGGGGAUCGCAAGAUCUCGCGCCUGAAGAGGAGCCUGCGGCGGAUAGCUAGUUGGUAGGGUAAUGGCCUACCAAGGCGACGAUCCGUAGCCGGCCUGAGAGGGCGGUCGGCCACACUGACACUGACAUACGGGUCAGACUCCUACGGGAGGCAGCAGUCGGGAAUUUUGGGCAAUGGGCGAAAGCCCGACCCAGCAACGCCGCGUGAAGGAUGAAAUCCCUCGGGA